GACGAACCGUGCAAACGUUGUUCGGAAUCACGUGGGCUUAAAGGGCGCGUAGGCGGGCGGCCAAGUCAGGGGUGAAAUCUUUCGGCUCAACCGGAAAAUUGCCUUUGAAACUGGCUGUCUCGAGGGAGGUAGGGGCAUGUGGAACUUCCGGUGGAGCGGUGAAAUGCGUUGAUAUCGGAAGGAACGCCGGUGGCGAAAGCGACGUGCUGGACCUCUUCUGACGCUGAGGCGCGAAAGCUAGGGGAGCGAACGGG
rnacentral:rRNA from 1 species